UACGGGGGGGGCAAGCGUUGUUCGGAAUUACUGGGCGUAAAGGGCUCGUAGGCGGCCAACUAAGUCGGAUGUGAAAUCCCCAGGCUUAACCUGGGAACUGCAUCCGAUACUGGAUGGCUUGAAUCCGGGAGAGGGAUGCAGAAUUCCAGGUGUAGCGGUGAAAUGCGUAGAUAUCGGAAGGAACAUCAGUGGCGAAAGCGACUUCCUGGACCAGUACCGACGUUCAGGCACGAAAGCGUGGGGAGCAAACAGG
rnacentral:rRNA from 1 species